GACGAACGCUGGCGGCGUGCCUAAUACAUGCAAGUAGAACGCACAGUUUAUACCGUAGCUUGCUACACCAUAGACUGUGAGUUGCGAACGGGUGAGUAACGCGUAGGUAACCUGCCUGGUAGCGGGGGAUAACUAUUGGAAACGAUAGCUAAUACCGCAUAAUAUUAAUUAUUGCAUGAUAAUUAAUUGAAAGGUGCAAUUGCACCACUACCGGAUGGACCUGCGUUGUAUUAGCUAGUAGGUGAGGUAACGGCUCACCUAGGCGACGAUACAUAGCCGACCUGAGAGGGUGAUCGGCCACACUGGGACUGAGACACGGCCCAGACUCCUACGGGAGGCAGCAGUAGGGAAUCUUCGGCAAUGGACGAAAGUCUGACCGAGCAACGCCGCGUGAGUGAAGAAGGGUUUCGGAUCGUAAAGCUCUGUUGUAAGAGAAGAACGGGUGUGAGAGUGGAAAGUUCACACUGUGACGGUAUCUUACCAGAAAGGGACGGCUAACUACGUG
rnacentral:rRNA from 1 species